AUUGAACGCUGGCGGCAGGCCUAACACAUGCAAGUCGAACGAGUGGCGGACGGGUGAGUAAUGUCUGGGAAACUGCGUGAUGGAGGGGGAUAACUACUGGAAACGGUAUCUAAUACCGCAUACCAUCAGAUGUGCCCAGAUGGGAGUAGCUAGUCGGGGGGGUAACGGCUCACCUAGGCGACGAUCCCUAGCUGGUCUGAGAGGAUGACCAGCCACACUGGGACUGAGACACGGUCCAGACUCCUACGGGAGGCAGCAGUGGGGAAUAUUGCACAAUGGGCGCAAGCCUGAUGCAGCCAUGCCGCGUGUAUGAAGAAGGCCUUCGGGUUGUAAAGUACUUGCAGCGGGGAGGCGUUACCCGAAGAGGAAGCACCGGCUAACUCCGUGCCAGCAGCCGCGGUAAUAC
rnacentral:rRNA from 1 species